rnacentral:rRNA from 1 species
UACGGAGGGUGCAGGCGUUAUCCGGAAUCACUGGGUGUAAAGGGUGCGUAGGCGGCUUGUUAAGUCAGGAGUGAAAGGCCAUAGCUCAACUAUGGGAUUGCUUUUGGUACUGGCGAGCUAGGAUUAGGACGAGGUUGGCGGAAUGUGGCAAGUAGCGGUGAAAUGCAUAGAUAUGCCAUAGAAUACCGAUUGCGAAGGCAGCUGACUAGACCUAAAUUGACGCUGAGGCACGAAAGCGUGGGGAGCGAACAGG